CCCCACACACAAAGGCAUGCUACUCACUCCGAGCCAGAGUGGCGUUUACUUGCGCUGGGUAGUCGAGGCCAGUCACGUUGAAUGCGCUGGGCACAAGCGUCACGCAGGUGCCUCUGUGCGUGUAAGAGUUGUCGCAAGCGCCGUGGUUCAGUGUGAUGUCAUGUAGUGUUCUCCAGAACCGUGCUGCUGUAAAAGUUUCACGUUGAGUAUUAUUCUGCUGCUGCUGCUGCUGCACCAUGAGCUACUACGCCACGUAACACGUUGCAGUUGUCUUUCAGAAUUUGGAAAGAAGAGUGACUCACUUGCUUUGGCGGAGUCACGAAGCCCGCAUACCCAUCCACCGAAUGCCAAAGCAGCUUCUGUUUGACCGGCUAGAGGAAGCUAGAUGGGCGCGGCACGGGCUGGAGAAGAGAUGGAAUGAUGCGGUACGGGAGGAAGUGGAGCCGAGUGGACUUGCCGUGAAUGGUACCAGCGGUGUCGGCCUCUGUGGAGGAGGAGAGUCGUGAAGAGACGCCACUGGGCAGUUGGAGGCAGUCGCCCAUCAGCAACGAGCGGAGCGCCGGGCGGCUAAAUCACAGCCAGAGUGACACAUUGCGGGAGCGGAAGCGGUGCCAUCUGUCGAUCAUCGCGGGCAACCCACGGCACCUGGGGUGUCGAUCCCGUGACCUCCUCCUGCUCGCGAGCACUUCGGACACUUCACGUGGCCUCGAGUGAUGGCGACCGCUGGCGGCGACGGCCGCAAGACGGAGACCCCGGGGGGGGCCGCAGGACCCCCACGCCGCCGACGCCGACGACGAGCGCCAGCGGCUGCGCCAGGAGGAGAACCGCGGCGGCUGCUGCGAGAGCGCCCGCGGCUACCGCUCGGACAUCGUGUGCGUCGUCGCGUGCGUGCUGGCCGUCAUCGCCGUCAUCGUGGUGGCCGUCACCUGCUCCCAGGUGACGUGCGUCGCGGCCUCCGCCAACGACACCCAGACGCUCGCCUCCACGUCCAGCAGCACCAAGUUCCUGACGUUGGCUCCGUGAGGCGGAACGGCGGCUGAGGGCUGGCCCCAGGGCGCGCCGGGUCCGAGGACGAAUCGGAACGACGUUGGAAGUCUCCCGCUCUGUUUGUCGUCUUUCCGGAUUUUCCUUUGGCAGCUUGGCUUUGUGACUUAUGUCAAUUAUUGCGUUUAGCACAAGCUAAAGGGUUCCACCGAAAGGAUUGUGGGGUUUUCCCCAAAAACACUCAUGAAGAAAUGUCAUAGCACCUCUGCUUGUGAAGGCCGUCGAUCAUCACCACGUGUAAAAGUCACAAAGCCUACCAAGGGAUUGUGAUAUGCAAACGGCAAACACAAGAAGCUAUUGAAUAUCUUAUCCCGUGGAACAUCUCUUUCACAUGUUGAUUCAUGAAAAUGUUCUCAAUUCGUACUACAUUUAGAGGACCCGAGGCCCUCCCAAGGCAUUGUGGCACCUUAUUCACAAGCGCGAAAAAAACCAUUAAAUCCCAGCAUCUCAGACCGCUCAUUGCGUCGGUUGCACACCUCAGAGAAAAUUACGCAAGACCCAACAGCGGAUUGCAAUAUUGCGAAACGGACGGGGCAGGCGUGUCAACAGGCAUGCCUCUAAAAUUCUCGUUGUACAAAUACUAUUUUACAGGCGAUGUUUCGUUCGUUUCUACAAAAAACAAAAACGAGCCGCGAAAUUGAGUUUCACAAGUUCCCCUUUCAUCGUCCAUUCAUGAGCGGCCGGUUCACACGCGCGCGCACGCAGUCACGCAGCGAAGCCUUUGUCGAGCGGCAUCGUUGUUGAAGUGCUUUGUUUGCAAGAUGCUUUCACUGCGCACGCGGGGUGGGGGGAAUGAGCAACCCAAUCUGGCGCAAUGCACCCGGCGGGCGCGGUGUAGGCUUAGCGGGAGGAAUGUUUUCAGUUCCCAUUACCCUACUCGUACAGCACCAGCCCGCACACACAUUCGGCACAGGGGAACAAUACCAGCGAAUCCUGAUAGAGCACUCCCUCCGCUCACAUGCCGAAGGUGACAAGUUCAAAUCCUCCUCGGGAAGGGGGGGGGGGUUGACUUAUUCCGUCAUCCGUCCGAGGUAAAAAAAAAUGGGAAAUACAUUUUUGGGGCAUCAGAAGUGCUUGUGGUAUGAGGAGACCGGCUCCCGCCAUGGGAAUGGGGAAUUUCCGCUGCCGAAGUAGCCGGAGCACCGUCCAUCGCAAGGGACGUUUGAUUCUAAUUGUAACGUUUGUUUUUCGAAGCGGUUUUUAUGAAGUUGCUUUUUUUUUGUUCUCUCGUGAUAAGGUGGUUUGCAAACAUUUUAGGUUAAUAGUAGAAGGCAUAAAUCUGGAAUUAGGAUAAAGCGUAACAUUACGCUUGUAUUUAUGUUGAAUUUAUACGAUUGUCGGCCUUCAUUUGUGUGAAAUAGUUCAUCGUGUUAUACUUUUCAUAUAUAGUCGGCGAAAUAAGAGUGCGUUUUGAUAUCCUGGCUGUGUGUAAAAUGUUAAAGCUUGUUGGAAUUCGCAACGGAAAUCUUUUGUACAUUUGCACUUUUAAAAACUUGCUGGUAAAACCAAGUUUGCGUCCUGUAUUCUCGCAACUCUAUUUUCCCCCCAGCACGCACCAGUUCUUCCUCACAACAGAUUUGCGUUGUCUCUGUGGGCUCCUCAAAGACAAACUCCCCCCCCCCCCACAUAUAGCCUUAACAGGCGGUUUGGCGCAAGUGCUGUUAG